UACAACUUCAGUUCCCUCUGGAUACAUAGC
rnacentral:piRNA from 1 species